AAAUAAAUUACCCAGGCUUUCUCAGUGACUAGCAGUAUUUUCGAAAUCAGGUUAAAAAGUUAGAGAUCUAGUUGUUGUUUCCGUUGUGAAAGUAUUGGUUGUGCUCGAACGUAACAUCUACAUUUCCAAAUUUUCGAAAUUCACGAAUUUCAAGAUUUCUGAUAUUUCAUACCAGGUUCUCUCAUUUUCAAAUUGAUUCUCAAAUUUUUCAAUUAAAAUUGCCAAAUUUUUAUAACUUCAAGUUUCUAAAUUUUCAAAACAUCGAACUUCAAAAUUUCAAAAUGUCAAGGUACACAAUCUGUGUUUGAAAGUACACACAUAUAUGUGUGCAUCUGUGUUCAUUAUUAAUUAUCAAACAUCUAAUUAUUUUACACAAUAUUUGUAUUAGGAAAUGAGUGACAAUCGAUAAUCAACAUACGUUAUAAAAUUGCGAAAAGAAUGCUUCAUAGAAACACUGCUUUUAACACUCCUCUGUCUUCGAUAUCAUAAAGGAUAUUUCAAAUAUUAUUUUUCAUAAUAGAAACAGAAUUCAAUUUCGUAAACUAAUAUUCGUGUUAUUUUCCUUUUUUAUUUGAAACGCUCUAAAUACUCGAAAUGGUUUGUUUACCACAAUUAUUAGCUAUAAAUAAAUAAGAAUAGAGUCGAGAAAAACGUGACACGCCUGCACGCGCCAGAUUUAAAAGGUGUUCGAAAUUUUUAUCGAUAGUGGCGACUUUCGACUCAAACUUGUCAUACCGCCGAAUCAUGUGAAUCGAUGUGUAGAGACGUAGAAACACACAAACACGAGAAGUACCGUUUCUCAAAACGGUCGGUCGCGAGAGCGACGAUAAUUUGCAACGUAAACGUUGGCAUACAGUUAGUUUCAGGAAUAGAAAUCUGACGUACACUCGCGUGCAACGGAAGCUUUGUGUAGAUAACAGAAGACAUACAUCACUUAUGUUUAGUAAACGGAUAUGUAAAUGACAGCUUCUCAAAUUUCUUAAAGAUCAAAUUUCUAAAUAUUCAAUCUUCAAAUUCUUAAUUCUCACAUUGUCAAAUCCUAAAAAAUCAGGGAAAAGGAACGUCGUAGGGAAAGAAAAUAUAGCGGAGGCCUACCGUGUUUCGUACUAUGGUACACAAGUGGUACACAGAAGAAAAAUAAAGCAGUCAGCGUUUACUUUUAUUGCCCUAUGAAUGACGGAACUGAAACGUUUCUUUUUAGUGAAUAAAAGACCAGUAGCAAGAAAACUUCGGAUUAAAAAUGCACAACGGAAACGCAUCGACAUAAAAUACAUAAGAGCAUACUCGAGGGAGAAAAAGGAAAAUCGCGUCUGACGCGUAGCAAAGAGAUAAAAGCAUAGCAGUCGCGCUUUGAUAUUCAUGACGGGGAUCAAUAAUGAAAGAGAAUAUAUAUUUCUGUUGUAGCGCAAAUGAAGAACAAACGGGGAAAAAGGAACAGUGGUAACCGAAGCAAGAAGAUAGAAAAGAUGUCCAUGAAACGAAAAUAAGGACAGAAGGAAGAGGGGAUUUUAUAUCCUUACCGCUGGAUAAGGUCAGAGGGGGCGGGAGGGAGGGAGGGAGGGAACUGGAGAGAUUAACAGAUCACGAUACAAAGGCGGUUUCGCGAAGAAUAAUGCGACGAACGAACUUGAAACCAGAAGAGACGAAAGAAUCGCGUUAAACUGCAACCAGACAAAAAGCAUUUCAACCGGAACGAAUGAACAGAAAGAUACGUAGUAAAAGAGUACUCGAUCGAAACAGAGGAAAGAGAAAGCCGUACCGCGAAAAGGCAGAGCAGCAGCGGGAGGAAAGCGGUUGGAAGAAAGGAAGAGGCGAAACCGAAGAAGACAAAGCGGGAAAGCAACGAUUUUCGGAUAAGCUAAACGGCAAGGAAGCAAAAAAACAGAGGAGGCGCGUUACAUCCUGGAGUCCGAUGUUCAGAGUCGUACGAUGGCCGGGGCUCUAUCCGAGAAUGCCCCGAGGCCUGUCAGCGUCGUCGCGGUAGAUGGUGCAACCGUUGAUACCACUAGGAGCAACCAACUCAACGGACCACAGGAAACACGAGAGAAUGGCCGCUCUUUCACUUCGACGGAGGCGCAAACAGAGUUGCCGAUUCAGAAUGGUCCAGAGGCGGUCGAGGAUAUGGACGUUCGAGGUGCACGUAGAAGGGAGAGACGGAUGCGGAGACACCCUCGAGCCUUGAGAUCAUGUUCGAUGCCACCAACUUAUCCUGGAGCAUCGCCAGGAUGUCAGGCUAGCUCUACAGCACCCGGAGUACCGUUGGUUGCUCCUCCUAGGGGAUUUUUACAUCCUCCACCGCCUCAUUUGGGUCUCAGGGGUCUUAGUCUUGGCCUACCGUUUCCGGUCUCUACCAGCGUCUCUGCUUUCGGCAGGGACGCAGUGCCGAAGCAGUGUUGCGGCCUUAGUUCCCCUCCUGUACGUUGGUCCAUACUGGGUGUCGGCGUAGUGGGUCUUGUUUGUGCGGGUGCUGGUGCUCUGCUGGGGGCUCUCAGGGCGUCCGGUCGCGAUCACAUUGCUGUGGCGCUUCUUAUGAUCGGUAUAGGAGUGGUUCUGGUAACUGUGAGCGCUGUAGCGUGGCGAGUGACCAGUCGAGAAAAUUGCGGCAGUUUCUUUGGUUUCACAGGGAUCUCGAGCAGGAUUCCACCGGCGAGGCCAAUUCAUCCUUACGCUGCCAUGAUUUAUCCGGAAUUUCAAUUUAGAACACCGCCACCUAGUUAUCAGGCAAGCAUGCAAGAGUACAGAUUGCGACUGUUACUUUUGGACCGCUUGCAGCCGACAUCAUCGCCUCCGCCAACGUACAGAUCCAACGCCGGAAGUAUCGUCACUCCCGGCACGACCAGAGAAAGCAGACCACCAAGUUACUGUGGCCGAUCGUAUGCCACGACGCAUGCCAAUGUUGCACCUUCGAAGAAAGAUGCAAAUUUGGUCAGAAUCGUUCAGACCGAAUCGGAGCCGGUGAUUUUGAACGGUGAUCAAACACCGCCUGUUGCUGCCGUUGAAGUACUCGCGCAUCUCUGAUUUUUUCCAAUCAUUUUCUUUCUAUCGAUGCGGAGACGCUUAUCAGUCGAUCGACAAGAUUUUCAUGAAUAAUAACAAUCGUUAGAAGUUAUCUCCGAUGGUUCUUUGAACACGUUUGGAAACGAUGAAUAAAAGUGCUUUACGGCUGAUGUUGAAGUCGUGCCAUUUGCAGUCGCUGGAAAGUUAGCGCUGUUUGCGAUGGAUGGAAUAUCAUACAGAACCGUGAUAACUGUGGUCAUGGUUUAAAUUAAUGGAUCCGUGAUUGUAUAAUUGACAGGGGUAUCGAAUGUCUUGACCAUUUGUUUCUUUUCUCCAACGGUCAGUAUUGUCUGUCACCCUUUUAUCUGCUUUCGUUUUAUGGUCGUAGAAAAAGAGUGAAAGAACGACGCUAAUGGGAAGAAACAUGGUCGCGAUUAUUAACGUUUUAUCGUAAAAAAACUAUUUUCGCAGUUAGUGAUGAAAUUAGAUGAUAUUGAGGGUUUUAAAAUUAAUGAAAGUUUCAUUAAGUAGGUACAUUCGAGAGCAAAGUUAGAAUUCCUUUGGAUAGGAAUGAAUGUAGAAUGACACAUCACAAAUGUGUAAAUUUAAAAAUUUUUUAAUAUUCGAAUUUGAAAAUUUAAAAAUUUACUUGAAAAAUUUUCACAUUGCUUAUUCUGCGAUUUUUCUCUAUGGAAAGCUACAUUUGCUUCCUGGUGUACCGUAGAAACUUCAAAUUGCGAAACCAUGUUACCUUAUAACACGCGUAUUUUGCAUAAAGUUGUAUCUAAAAAAUAAUGUCGUUGUCACGUUCAUUCGUUUAAGGAUUAACUUAUUCUGUACAAGAGAGGCCAACUUUUCGGGGCAUCGCUUUGUAAAUAUCAAUGUUGAAAUUUUAAACUUGUAAUUUGUAUUAUAAAAUAGUAUGUUACAAAAGGGUGCGCGAUGUGGAACGUGUUGACUAUGUGUACAUCAUGCUGGUAGAAACUUUUAAGGUCUUCCUGUUGUUACAAUUACUCAUACCUAACUUCGAGAAACAGAAAGGUUACAAACGCCACAAAUUUACAUCACUGUACAAUGAUUGUAAUAUUUUGGAAAUUAUUUUUUAAAGUAAAAAAAUUGCAACGUGUUAUAAAAUGGUUUUGCAAUAAUUAUAAAUUUUAUUAUGAUUCGUCGACGCUGGUACUAAUAGCAACAAAACCAUUUUGAUUAUUAUAUAUUUUUUUUUUUAAUUAGACCGUGAGAUUAUUUUUUCGUUGAAAGCUGCAUUAACUUGUUUUAUUACAUCGCCACAAAAGAUGGUACUUUAGUGAAUAAAUAAAUAAUGCAGCUUUAAAAUAACGAUGCUGUCGUAAGCUUUAACGCCAUACAGUAAUAUUUACUGCUCGCUUUAUUAUUACGACUUGCGACGACCACAAUUUUAUCGUCGAGAGUCGAUAAAAAAACGAGAAUCUCGUGUGUUGCGUACAAUAUAUACAUAUUUUUGUAACUAUUAUUUGAUGGUUAAAAACCCGAGUUACGCGCAUUAUUGUACUGUCGGUUUUUAUAUACAGUAAUAAAAUUUCUGUUUUACAACUUUACGGUACUUCAAAGUACUACGGAAAAUUUUUGUAAAUUUUUACAAAUUUAAAAAAUUUCGUUCGUCGAUUAACAUCGAAAUAUUUAUUAACUACCUAAUAGUUUUGUCAUUUCUUUCUUCAUUAGUAUUAAGCAAUCGUGAUAAAAAAUUUGAACUGCAAAAUACUCAACGAAUGACUUUAAUAUACUUCAAGUUUAUACCUAUAAGUAUAAACUUCAUUUUGAUAUCUUUUUAUACAGUCAUUUUUAUUCUAAAGUUUCUUGUAUUUACUGCUUUUUUUAAUUAUGAUUUAUCGAAAACACCUUUAAGGUAAUUUGCAUCACUCUGUGAUUACUUCGUUAUUGUUAAAUUGGUGUAGGUAAAUAACAGAUACAUAUUUUAUGCAUUUUUAACACGUUACCAAGGGUAAUAGAAGUUUCUCCAUUUUUUAAAUUUAACAGUUAUGCGAAUAUACAAUUAAAAAAAUUAAUAACACAAGAUGAAAACAGAACCAACAAUAAGAAUUAGCUGCAACUAUUGCGGAGCGAUAAUAGUUACUGCCUAACGACAAAAUAUAAAUUGAUGUGUAUUUUUAGGCAUCGAUAAAUUACAUUCCAUUCAGUACAAAGCGGACAUAGAAUUAUUGUUUCUUUUAGUAAUUGUACAAUGUUAGAUGCCUAUAUGUGUAUUUUAAUGAUUGUAUUUUGUCGAAUGCUGUAUAUACAAUACCGACAGAAUUAACGAUAGGUAGAGUUGUAAGAGUGGUAAUUAAUACAAGGGCGACAAAUUUCGAAAGGCGGCCUUAACCAAACUCGCAAUGAUUCGUGAUAUGAGAAUAGAUCAACUAUAAGUCAUCGAUCGAAUGAGUAUAUUGUUCCUUCAUAUUAUUGUAGAACAAUUUGUAUAUAUACGAGAACAAAUAUAUUUAUCUGACUUAUUUGACCUUC
rnacentral:misc_RNA from 1 species